rnacentral:lncRNA from 1 species
CUCAGUAUUUAGAGGCAAAAAUUAGCCCUAAGAAAAACAUCAGCAAGCACAACACAAGCUAUGCAGAUGAGAAAAUUGGGGUAAGAUGGGGAUUGAGGAAAAUUGAGGGCAACUUGACAGCUAAGUUUUCAUUCCUUGUAAAAAGCUAUCUUUCCUUCAUGUCAAUUAUUUGUCCAAACUUAGUGGUAGAGAGAAAAGAUUUUUUUUUAGAGAACUGUUUUGUUUCCCCCUCCUCCCUGUCCCAUGUGGCCCUAGUUUCUUAGAGUAGAAAGUUCUUCAGAUACGAUGAAUAUUUCUGAGAAACUAGAUAGCAAAAUCAUAGCUGUGUCUGGUUAAGAUGAACAUCAGAUUUCUUUGUGGUUCUCGUAAGAUAUUAUACAAAGCAUCACCUCUUUCUCUCCCUGUCUUUCUUUCCCCUGCCUCCUCUCUGUCUCAUGAAACACUACACUAAACAGUCACAGGACCAAGAUAUAGAUUCCCAUUUCCAGGUUUGUCUUUUCUGUCUAAAAAAGACUUUCGUUUCAGCCAUGUCUGCGUAGCAUCUCCUUCAGAAAAUUAGCAAUGUUUGCUAAUGAGCAUAAUCCUUGUUAUUUGUAGCACUGUUAUAAAUGGCAUGGGGUAUUCAUAUAAAUCCCCAUGCAUAAUUCUGAAAAUAUGUCCAAUAGAGGAAAAAUAUAUCACUACUUGUUUUCCACAAUCACAAUAUGGAACCAAAUAUGGUUCCUAUCUUUUUUUCUUUUCCUUACCAACCAGUUUAAGAGUGGUCUAUUUGUAUAGAUCUCAACAAAUAAUUCAAAAAAGAAAAUAAUCGGACAAAUAUAAAUAUGUGUAUAUAUAUACACACACACACAUAUACAUUAUAUAGAUACACACACACACAUAUAUAUACACCAAGUUUAAUGUUAAUAUAGGGUUUUUCUUUAUUUAGUGAAUGCAACAUCAAGAUACACACACACACACACACAUCUGUUGGGUAAAAUAAAAAACUAUCCAAUUCCUAUAGAUCUGAAUUACUGUUUUUCUAAGUAGGAGGCCUGAAGCUCUUUGUAAAGACUUUGGACACUGUCAUGGAGAAUACCAUACGUGGUAAGUAAGGUGAAACCAUGAGAGAGGGUCUUCUAUCUGUGCUUGUCUGUGUUUCUUUUUAAUAUGCUGUGGUUGUUGAAAUUUUGAGUAAGAUUUUAUUCCAGGGGAGGUAAUGCAGCCUUUGAUUAAAAAAAAUUGUUCUUAAAGGGAGAAGAGGGUUUUCUUAAAAACUAUUGCCCUAGGUUGUCCUUAAAAGACUGUGGAAAAAGUAAUGGAAAAAAUUACAGUCACCUGUCCAGAUGCUAUCACUGUGGGAUGCCUCAUGCCUUGUGAAUUAGACACAUAUUAGUAUUGUCUUUUUUUAUAAAGCUAAAAUAUUUUCAACAUUGCCCACUCCUUUUUGUCUCUAACCAUCUUUAUUCAUAUAUGUAGGUAUGUACAGAUAGUGUGGGAUCCCAGUAUAAUUAUUUUGAGUUCCCCUCCAUCUUUGUUUUAUUGCCUUUCUGGUGAUAGGUCACUUGCAUCUCAUUUUGUGUACAGUAUCUUAAUUAGCAGGUGGUAGGUGAAGGGUAUAGUUAGGUGCUAAGGAUUCGGAGAUGAUUAGGAUAGGAUCCCAGAACUCAAGUCAUGGGUAUUAGUUUGACUGACAUUCGCUUGUUUUAUUUGAAAGCGUAGUAGAGUGGGCAUGUAAGUACUUUCUGUAAUAUAAAAAUGUCAUAAAUAGUCUGCUGUACCUCAUUUAUUGGAAGAAUCCCAUUUUAUGAAUCAAAAUUGAAGUGUUCUUUUGUCAGUAAGGUUAAAGUAUACCUCUUUGACUACAAUACCACAUCAGAUUUGGCUGUGACAUACAAAAUUUGCAAAAAUCUAGCUGCAAAUUCUUAAUGCGUUUCUUAAAACAAAAACAAAAACUAAUUGAUGCUUAGACCUCAGAGCAGUCUUUUAGAGAAGGAGUAUGCUUUUCUUUUGCCUUUCUAGUGCAUGAGGAAGUUGACUCACCACCUGGUCCGUUUGAAUACCUCUAGCAGUGUCAUGAAGAAGAAAUUAUUCUCUUGACUUAUAGUUUUAUCCGACUGUGACUUAGAGACAAGGAGUAGUAAAAGGAGAAAAAGAGCUGAUUUGAUUGAAUAAUACAAGAAAAUGUAUUUGAUUGAAUAAUCAAAAUAGGAAUUUUCUUCUAGGUUAUCAUUCUUCACUCACACAAACUUGGACAAGCCCAAGCAGGGACUUUAAUAGGCUUUUAAAAUAACUCCUUCAUAAUACAGUAGACCAUACAAUGCUGUUUAGAUUAUUUUAUUUCCAUAAUAAACCCUCAUUAAGUAUAUUUAUCUAAUGAUAUGACAGAACUGAAGGGAAAGGGAAUAUAAAAAAAUAUGUGCAUGUGUUAAACAUUAGCCCUAGCAGAAGAUUUAUAAAUAAAUUACAGAUAAUUUAUAGAAUCAUGCCAUAUUUAUAAUUGCAUGUUUAAAGCAAUCUUCUUAUGGUAAUUGUAUUGUAUGGCCAACUCUAAGAAGGGGGAAAUUAUAAAUUUAUAUUUCCAGAGUUUACUGAGAUGUGCUGUCUUUUAUAGGUAAAACUGUAUUGUGUAGAAUUCAGAGUGGAAAAUGAAGCUUCUAUUUCAGUGUGACUCAUACCCCAUUACUAAAUGUUCAGAAAGCUCAGCAUAAAAAAUUAAAUGUUCACUAUUUCUCAAAGAGGUCAUUGCUUAAGUUCCAAAUUAAUUUUCAAACAACGCUGCUAUAAAAGAAUCAAUAAACUUUGUAUGACAAAGCAAAACUCUGCCGGUGCUUUCAAGAUAAAUGAUAAACAGAUCCUCCUUUGAGAAGAAUGAAGGAUUUCAGCUUCCUGUGCAUCCUUACAGUGCCUACUGGUGCUCACAGUUCCUUCUGAAAUUAUUUCAACGUAAGGCAUGAGCAUGAGGCUAUAAAAUGCCCAAGGAACCAAAGAAGCCAAACCCAUUGGUCUCAGAUGUAUCAUUUAUUGUUAGGAUGUUUCUUCUUGAUGCCUUAGACAGGAACAAUUCAGUGAAUUAACCUGUCAUUGUGCUGAAACCAUAAAACACAUUAUGCUCUAUACUUCUAAAGGUGUAACAUAACCUUAUGGGGUAGGUUGAGGGCCCUGUGAAUCCCUACUUUCAGAUGAGCACAUGGAUGGUUAGGUGAUAUGUCCAAAUAAACUCAUUCAUUCAACAAAUAUUAAUGUUUAGUGAUCCUCUACUCCAGACACUGUUCAAGGUGCUGGGAAAACAUCUGUGAACAAAACAACAUCCCCACCCCUCAGGGAAUUUACAUUUUAGCUUUAGAGACAGAAUGCAAAAUGAUAAAGGAAACCUAUGGAAGGUAUGGAGGAAACUAAAAAGGGAAGGAUAGAGAAAGUAAUGAAUGAUGCUAUGUUAGACACAUAAUCAGGGACAUCCUCUCUAAGAAAGAGACAUUUGAGCAAAGAUUUGGAUGAAGUAAGGGAGCAUGUAAAGAUGUGGCCAUAAAGCAUUUUGAACAGUGAAAAGAUCCCAAGUUGGGAAUAAGGCUGAUACACUCUAGGACAGUAAGUAUAGCAGAACAGAAUGGGGAGAGAGGAAAGAGGUGAGGGAAGAGCUCAGAGAAGUCCGUGGAGUUAGAUCCGAUUGGGUCUUGGAGACAAAAGUGAGUAGCAGUCAGGAUAUGCAAGAUCAUGGUGGGGAACAAACAACCCCAAAAUCUCACUGGCUGAAGACACCAGGAUUUUUUUUUUCUCACAUCAUGUCUACCAUUAGUUUGGAGGCUCUAUAGUAUGUCAGCCUCAUCUUGGGAACCAGGGUGGGCAGAGCACACACUAGUGGCAUGCCCAUCAUAGUGGCAGGGGAAAAAAAUCUCAUAAGGGUCUCCUAUCAGCAAUUAAUGUCCCAGGGAGGAAGUGACACAUCACUUGCACAAACCAGUCAUUGGCCAGAUCUAGUCAAACAGCCACAUUCAAUGAUGGUGGUGGUGAGGAGAAUGGACAGCUGUGGGCAAUGGUACAAUUCUACCAUGUGUCCAUUAAGCAGGGAGCUACACAUAUUUUAUAAACAGCAUUGAUGGGGCGCCUGUAUGGCGCAGUCGGUUAAGCGUCCGACUUCAGCCAGGUCAGGAUCUCGCGGUCCGUGGGUUCGAGCCCCGCGUCAGGCUCUGGGCUGAUGGCUCAGAGCCUGGAGCCUGUUUCCGAUUCUGUGUCUCCCUCUCUCUCUGCCCCUCCCCCGUUCAUGCUCUGUCUCUCUCUGUCCCAAAAAUAAAUAAACGUUGAAAAAAAAAAUUUAAACAGCAUUGAUGAAUCCCAUGUAAGAAUGUUGGAUUUUAUUCCAGUGAGAUGGGAAGCCAUGAGGAGGUUAUAAGCUGUUUUCAAAAGAUCAUCUGGCCCUUGGGUAGAGAAUAUAGAGUUAAAGGGACAAGAGGGAAGCAGUAAGACCAAUAAUUAUAUUACAGCAGUAACUAGGUGAAAGGUAAUAAUGGCUUGGGCUAGGAUGGUAAGAAAUGGUUUGUUUCCAGAUGCCAUACUCAGUAGAGUUAUGCCUAAGUAUGUCAAACAACCUGGUGAAAUGUAAGAGGAAGUGACGAAGUCUGUGGCCCAACUGGGCACAGCAUACUCAGAAAGGCAUGCAAAUUCAUUUUUAAACCACAGCAUCAGCCAAACAACAAAAUUUUGUAACUCCUGUAGUAAAGCACGUUUCCUGGUUAUAUCAAACAAGUAAAUAAAGCAACCAAUGUACUAGUCUUAGGUCUGACAAAUUUUAGUGACACUUUGGUAGAUACAUGGUAACAUAGCAUGUAUUAACGAAGCACUCACCAGCCAGGUAAAAGCUCAGCUUAAUCAGGAAGUGAGAGGCUGAAUUAACAUCUACUCAAAACCCACUGUAUAAUUUCCACCUCCAGUGAAUUGAAUUGGAUUUUGUGAAUCUUGUGAUUCUAGGCUCACAGUCUUGAGGUGCUAAGCCCUCUCCUGUACUGAAUUGUGGUUCUACCAAUGUUGGGUGUGCAAAGUUUAGCGUAUAAAGGAAUCCCCUGUCACACAGAAAUGACGUUCCCCGUGUGCCAUUAGAUCUGGGGUGGGGCAGGGGACCUGACAUUUUCAGCCAGUGCUUCAUUUUCAUAGGGGCCACACCCUGAGAAAUUGUGGCUCUUCCUAAUUCUUAAAACAAGUUACAAAUUUGACUUUUACUGAACAUGGUAAAAGCUUGUAGAGCUUUAUAAUUCCCACUAAGUUCUUGUACUAUUCUUGCCUGUGGUCAGCAGCUAUUACUCAUGCUUAGAAGUGAGGGAGAAGGCUCUCAGGGAAAUUGAUCACCAGAUGCUAUGGUUUCCUCCUUCCUCCCUUCUUUUCUCCCUUCUUUUUUUCCUUCCUUCCUUCCUUCCUUCCUUCCUUCCUUCCUUCCUUCAUCUUCCUUCCUUCUUCCUUUCUCUUUCUUUCUCCCCCUCCCUCCUCUCACAUUAUUGAGUUCUUCUAACAUUCCAGGCACAGUGUUAGUUCUAGAAACAUAGCAUUCAUCAGAACAAAUGCCUCUGUCUUAGCAUUCAUCAGAACAAAUGCCUCUGUCUUUGUGCAGUGAGUAUUUUUGAGGGAGCUUUAUUUCCAGUGCAGAGAAGUAAGAUUAGCAAUACUUUAGUGAAUAAACAAUAUUCACUAUGCAGGCAAGAAUAUUUUGACUCUAGUCCAAUAGUAGUCACCACAAAAGUGAGUAACAGAAAACUGUAAUGCUGAUUCAAUAUUUGAUAGAAUUUAGAAGAUAUUUUGUAUGGAUACAGCCUAGGGUAUCAGAAGGAAUCUAAUGGUUCAUCCAAGUAUUGUUACAUCCACUUGUCCUCCUCCUCUUUUGAAGUUCAGUGCAAAUAACAUUUUGUUUCUUGGGCCCCCAGAAAUACUCUAGGCAACAACUUUUCCCAUGACUCCAUACACCCCUUUCAUAGGACAUAUAGUAUGUAUGACAACUCAGGGGCUAAGCAAAUACCAUAAGCUGACAUGCAUAUGUGUGAAUGUCUUGUGUAAGUGCCAGGGACUGGAGCAAACAGAAGAGGACUUAGUGCCAUCUGAUUGUUUCAUGGAGCAUGACAUUUCUAAAAGUAAGAGUUUUUCACAGCUGAAAAUCUGGAAUAUUAAUAUAAUUUUUUCCUUUUGAAAGCAGUAACUCAAAAAUUUCAAAAAAUUAUAUGAGCCAAAUGAAACAUAUCCACAAGCCAUUAUUUGAUCUGUAGCUCCCCAGUUUGUGGCCUCCUUCUAUAGACCAUACACAUUGGCACUUGUCACUUGAUGAAUUCUUGUAGCAUUCUCAAUCCCAGCGGUUAUAAAUUCUGUGAAGGCGGGGUCACUUACUCCUUGCAUCAUCCAGUCCAGAGUUGAUCAUUUGGUGGGUGACUAGAAGGUAGGGCACAGUGCGCAGGGACUCAGAACCAGUUCGAAUCCUUGCCACACUAUUUACUAGCUAUGUGACUUUCAGCAAUUUUAUUAAUUUACUUGUGCUGCACUCAACUGUUAAAUGGAGGUGAUGUUAAUUAUAUCUAUCCCGUAAGGUUAUUUGGAGGAUUAAAUGAGCUCAUAUUUGUAAAGCACUUAGUAUAAUGCCUUGGAACAUAGUAAGAACCAUGUAAGUUUUUUAAGUAAGUUAAAUUAAAAUAAAUACAUAAAUAAUAUGUAAUUUUAUCAUGAAAUUUAUGGAAUUUCAUGAUCUACUUAUUCUUCCAAUUUCAUUCAAUGAUGGGAACUCAUUUAGAAAAUGAGUUUUUUUCCCCUUAGUUUUAUAAGGUAUAAAUAUAUGACUUAAAGAAUAUAAACAAAUGUAAAACCUAACCAUAAGCCUGUUCUGAUAUGUUCUUUUUAGACUCUUGUUCUUUAAGACUUUUAAAAUAUGUGUCUUCAAGAAAACUAACAAAGGACAUGGAAUAUUAUUCACUUUUUAAUACCAAGCCACAGGUGUAUAGGCUUCUAAACAGCUGAUGAGCAUCUGGCCCACUUAGUACACUGGUUUUUAAAGUUUUCCAUUAUGUAUUCGUUAUGCGCCGACCCAUUAAACCAUUUAGUGAUUGCUCAUAAAUUAAAACAAACUGAUUAAUUGCAUCAAAUGUUCUAAUAAAAUAUUUUUUAGUGGCAGAGGGUAUCUAUGCUUAUUUUCACGUUGGAGUCACAUGGAUAUACAUGCAGAUUUUCUGUAUUUAGAGAAUUAGAUCAUACGGCAUAAUAUAAGAUAUAUUUCUUACGUUAAAGAAUACCUUCUAUUCAUCUCUGUUACUUACAGAAAACAUAUUUUCACCAAUCAUUAUAUUUAAAAACUGAGUAUUUUUGCACUCAGGCACUGUGCUGCGAAGAUGUGUAAUAAUAGUUCUUUUACUUAAUCCUCAGAAUAUACCCAUUUCCUCCAAUUUUAUAACCGAGGAAGCUAAGAUUUAGAACUGGUGGACAAUGGAAAAACUACCCGAUUUGACAAAGCUGGACAGUGCCACGAUUUGAAUCCAGCCUGGGGUAUGGCCAAAAGAGAAAUGUUUUGGAACCUGUUCAGCUCCAUAAAUUGUGUUUUUGGCCUAUAUAAGUAAAUAGAGCCUCAAUUCAAUCAAUCAAAAAUAUUUAUUGAGCAGCUAGAAGAUACCAUGCACUAUUUCAUUCUCUGACUCUUAUUAUCUACUGCUAUACAGCUGAAGUCGAGGAUUUUUUAGACAAUAAUAUACACUGAACAUUGCUUCUGUCUCAAAAGCAGUAGUUCUCAAAGUGCGGUCCUUGGAGCAGCAUUAUCAGCAGCAUCUGUGAGCUUGUUGGAAAUUCAGAUUCCUGAGCUCCACCCCAAACCUGCAGAAUGAGAGGGUCUGGGGAUGAGGCCUAGCAAUCUGCAUUUGAAGAGGACUUGAAGCUGAUUCUGUCACACACUUAAGUUUGAGAAGCUCUGGUAGAGUGACAGCCCCUACUAAGGCUUUCAAGGAAGAGAAAGGCCCCCACGUGCAAAGCCUUUACAAUCGGACGUGUGAAGUCCUGUAGAGACCAGAGCAUUAGCAAACUGCAAACUGAAGAAAGUCUGAAAAGAAACUUGCUUCUCUGAGGGCAAGUGGCCUUCUCUGAAGACAGUGCAAGAGGUGAAUACAUACCUUAACAGUGUACCAGUCCCACCAGGUGCAUUAUUUGAUUUUCUAUCAGAAAGCUUCUGGUUAUGGACCCACCACCUGAGGAGUAAUCCUGUGCUAAUCAAUAAAGCACACACUCCUUUCCCUGACCAACCGCCCUCCCCUUCUUACAAAAUGUUCUUCACAGAAAGCUGUCACCUAAUCAGCCACAUCCACCUGGGUAACUGCUUUGAUUUGUUCUUCUUUGCAUUGAUUGCUCCGUUUCCCAUACUUUUCCUGGGUCCUGGGGCUAAAACCAUCAGUCCAUGAAGAAGUAGACUUUGGAAGUCUCUUCCAGUUACUCAAAGCAGGCCACCAUUCUCUGAGCCUCUGAUGCCUCAUCUGUUGAAUGGGUAGAUUUCCUUCCAGAUCCCUUCCACCUCCAAAUUUGUCUGAAUCUAAGGACCCAGGACCGCUAGCCAAAUGGUGAGUUAAUGUGAACUAGGAGAUUCCGGCUCUUGUGACCGGGUUAGACACAGUCUUGGCUAAGGGCAAAAGUCACAGGACACACACGCACCCAUGAGCCUGCUAUGUCAGUGCUCUCAGUGUGAGUCAGUUCUAUCACCUACAUUUGCACAAUCAGGGAGCUUGGGGUGAUCGUUCCAAGAUGGGGAAAAAAGAGAAGAGCAAGAGAACGUGAGAUUGCCUUUUUUUUUUGCCCAGAUUCCUACUUCACUCUUCCAUGGUUUUAUUUAUAUUCCAAACACGGAGAACACCGUUUAUUUGUAUGUUUGGAGCAGACUGCUACUUUUAAAAAAUUAAUCGCAGCUUUUCUAGAGAAAGGAGGAUGGUCAAGAUGAACCACAGUGGCGCCUUGCAGCCUUCAGAUGCCCGUUUUUAAAGCUUUAUUUGGAGUGUGGCACAUUAUAAUUGACAGACUUGACAAGCAUUCUGGUUUCAUGGGCUGCAUGUCAGGAUUCCUGCCCUAUAUUUCCAUAUCACCGAGCACUUCCAGUGUGUCCUUGAACUAAUUUAAAAUCUCCCUGGGUUUCAGGCUCCCCAUCUUCCUUGAAGCCCCUACAUCAUUUGCCACGUACUUGCAGGGUGUCCCUAAGCAUGCGGUAUGCUGUCCCUGCUGCCUUGAGAGGUUUCUUAUCUCUUUAUCCACAAUGUUGAUAUCUAUUUGCUUAUCAUUUAGAGAGAGCACUCAUGUUGUAUAUCUCACCCCCCAAAUACACGUGAAUGGCGUCAGUCAGGGAAAAGAAAUUGACAACUGGCCUUUCAAUGCUAUGAACCCGGUUCAACGAGGUUAUUGUUUCAGUUUUUGAACUUCCUGUGUUUUAUAUCAUACAGGUAGGAAAACAGCUUAAAUUUUCUUAAGACUUUUCAAGCCAGCAUUAAAGGCUUUGAGGUUCUCUUCCCCCCCAAAUUCUGUGAGUUUUAAAUGAGUUUUAAUUAAUUCCCCGAGGAGGAGGGGGGUACAGAAUAUCUGAUAUUUAAUCAGACUUUUCAGCACUUCCAACUGAUUUGUGGCAUAAGGAAUACCUUUAAUAAUGACUGGUCUGUUUUAAAAACAGAACUUUAUUCUAUGUACUGCACUAAGACAAAACAAAAGGACUCAUCUUGCUGUGGGUAGAAAGAAGCACAAUGUAAUUUAUAAAGAUAAUCAGAUGGUGCCAGGUUGUUUUAAAUAGCUUGGGGGGAAAAAAAAGGUUUGAAUUCAAAAGAGGUCAGAUUCUUUUUCCACCCAGGGCUUUGGAAAGGAACACUGGCAUGUAUAAUCUUGUCCACAUUAAUUUUACCGCCAUGGUCAAAGAGCCCCACCAGACUGAAACUUGUGAAGAAUUUUCUUUCUUUAUUUGUCUUGAUCAGAGAGGAAUUAGCUCCCUUGGUGAACCAACGUGAAAAGAAGCGAGUUUGGGGAAAUCACAACGUUCACGGGAAAGAGGAAGUUUGAGGCAAACAUAUGGUUGAAAUGCUCUAGUCGAUUUUAGAUCAAGCUGAGAGAGUUGAGAUCCGUUGGUUCAGGGAUCCAGUUCACUGCACAUUCCUACUGUGCCUGACUGCUAAUUGCAUCCUAUGUUUGUCAAUCAAAUAUUUGCAAUUAACAAAAAUAUUCCCUUAAGAGACCUAUAACAGAGCUGGCAAAGGAUCUGGUGCUUUGCUAAGUAGAGCUAGCUGCACACAGAAAAUUUUGAAAAAAUAUGGUAUUAAAAAUAUGCUGCGGCUGAUGACACCGCUAGACACUCCCCGUCAAAACAUUAACAAGCAGAAUAGGUGGCAUGGGGGCUUUUCAAAGGGAUUUUGUUCAAAGAACAGAAACUUUGAUCUCAGUGUCUCUGACCCCUCCUCCACCUCUGAUUCUUCAAUCUACAAGUACAUAUAGUGGUUUAAUUUAACUCUGUGCAUAAUUUGCCUAAGGAUAAAAGUUGAUCUAGAUUUUUUUAACUCCAAUUUUACAAAUGCUCUACUUUCUCGCUGCCCCCCUCCUCCCCACGCACAUAUUUCAAGAGGGAAGGCUGAAGAGGAAGGUGACUGGAAUAUUAAGAACUGUGAGAUAUUCUGAGGAAACUCUAAUUUGUAAAUUGGUAGAAAUGCCAGUAAUUUGUUGGGAAUUGAAGACCUUCUGUAUUCAAGAGUGAAGCUUGGCAGCUGUGCACUGUUGUUUUAUAAAUCAAUAUUACAUCUG